CCCUUAGAUGUCCUGGGCAGCACGCGUGCUACAAUGAUGCAUUCAACGAGUCUUGCCUUAACCGAAAGGUUCGGGUAAACUUUUGAAAUUGCAUCUUGUUGGGGCUUGAUCAUUGUAAUUUUUGAUCACAAACAAGGAAUUCCUUGUAAAUGUGAGUCAUCAACUUGCAUUGAAUACGUCCCUGCCCUUUGUACACACCGCCCGUCGCUUCUACCGAUGAAUGAUCCGGUGAAUGUUUUGGAUCGGCUUCAAGUUGGUUCGCGCCUCUUGCUUGCUGUGAAAUCAUGUAAACCUUAUUGCUUAGAGGAAGGAGAAGUCGUAACA
rnacentral:rRNA from 1 species